rnacentral:rRNA from 1 species
CAGCAGCCACGGUAAUACGGAGGGUGCAAGCGUUAAUCGGAAUUACUGGGCGUAAAGCGCACGCAGGCGGUUUGUUAAGUCAGAUGUGAAAUCCCCGGGCUCAACCUGGGAACUGCAUUUGAAACUGGCAAGCUAGAGUCUCGUAGAGGGGGGUAGAAUUCCAGGUGUAGCGGUGAAAUGCGUAGAGAUCUGGAGGAAUACCGGUGGCGAAGGCGGCCCCCUGGACGAAGACUGACGCUCAGGUGCGAAAGCGUGGGGAGCAAACAGGAUUAGAUACCCCUGUAGUCCCUGUCUCUUAUAC